rnacentral:lncRNA from 1 species
CAGGCGCCCGCCACCACGCCUGGCCAAUUUUUUUGUAUUUUUUUAGUAGAGACGGGGUUUCACCGUGUUAGCCAGGAUAGUCUUGAUCUUCUGACCUCGUGAGCCGCCUGUCUCAGCCUCCCAAAGGGCUGGGAUUACAGGCGUGAGCCACCGCGCCCGGCCGAUUUACCACUCUUGAUGUUCACCACCUGGCUGAGUCUGGAAUCAUUUCUUCAUAAUGACAUUUUCUCCUUUUAUUGGAGAAUGUUAGAAACCAAGAUCAAGAGCUUGAUGUGCUUGUUGAUACUGGAGUGUCAUUGAUUCUUGGCCCUGUCAACUGACCAGAUCAAGGAACUACAUGUGUAUAAGCUAAGUUGUUCUUUGAUGAAGAGAAGAAAAUGUUCAAAGACUCUAUCUGGACAGCAGAGCAGUGCACAGCUGUGAUGUUUCUUUUUUCUCUGCCUUGACCUUACUCUGAAGAAAGUACUCCUUUAGGCUCAAACUCCUGAAAUUGACUGAAGUAUCUCUUAGGGAAUGCUUUGGUCAUAACAGAUUUUUUUAAAAACUUAUUUAAAUUCCAUUCCAGGUGCAGCCUCCCUUUACUUUAUAGGUUAAAGCGGGAAAUAUCACUGGGAAAGGGAAAAGGAUCAUGAAUAUUUAAAGUUUAUCAUAAAUAAGAAGUCUGUGAACAAAGCCUGCCCAUGAGCCUGAGUUUUGUGUUACAUCAUCUCUUGAAAUCCCUCUGAAAAAAGAGUAUGCACUAGACAAUUGCACCAACAUAGGGAAAGCAAAGGCAUGUCUCAUUAUCACCCUGAGAAAUGCCAACACCUAUGGUCUUGAU